GGGAUGUAGCUCAGUUGGCUAGAGUGCUUGACUGGCAGUCAAGAGGUCGUGGGUUCGAAUCCCAUCUUCUCC
rnacentral:tRNA from 2 species